UACGUAGGGUGCGAGCGUUAAUCGGAAUUACUGGGCGUAAAGCGUGCGCAGGCGGUUUUGUAAGCCAGAUGUGAAAUCCCCGGGCUUAACCUGGGAAUGGCAUUUGGGACUGCAAGGCUUGAGUGCGGCAGAGGAGACUGGAAUUCCGGGUGUAGCGGUGGAAUGCGUAGAGAUCCGGAAGAACACCAGUGGCGAAGGCGGCCCGCUGGGCAGUGGCUGACGCUGAGGCGCGACAGCGUGGGGAGCAAACGAGG
rnacentral:rRNA from 1 species